AGUUUUAUUCUUGCUUUUUCGUUCAUUUUUUUGUUUGUUCUAUAUGUAAGUUUUUGCGUGGUUUUAUUUAAGUUCUAAAUGAUCUUAGAGGUUGGUGUAAGGUUGGAUUUUUCUCAUUAGUUGUUAUUGGUUGAUCAAGUGUCCUUGUAUUUAGCAAUACAUUUUAGUUUCGGUUAAAUUUUGUGCCAGCAGCCGCGGUUAUACCUUGGAGGCUUUGAAUGUGUUUGGCAUAUAGGUAGUUAUAUGAUUUAUUUGUGGUUGAUUUUAUUUUGGUAGUUAUUGGGUGAAAUUUUUAUUGUUGCUGUUUUUCUUAUUUGUGUUUGGAGGCUACGAAAUUUUAUUUUUAAACUAGGAUUAGAUACCCUAUUAUUUUAGAAUGUUAAAUUUUAUGUGCCUGAGUAGUAUUAGUUAUGUUCUUGAAACUUAAAGAAUUUGGCGGUAUCUCAUUCCGUCCAGAGGAAUCUGUCUCGUUAUCGAUAGUCCGCGUUGGACCUUACUUAAGAUUUGUUGGGGUUUGUAUACCGCCGUAUAUGAUUAUCUUUUUAGAGUUUGUUUAAUUUUCUGGUUUCUUUAUUUUGAUUUAUUUCAGGUCAAGGUGCAGCUUGUUUUUAAGUGGAAUGAUGGAUUACAUUGUUAUUUGUUUUAUGGAUUGUCUGGUUAAAAUAUUGGCAUGAAAUUGGAUUUGGUUGUAAUUAUUUGUAGAUUGUUAUUGUGAUAAUGGUUCUGGGAUAUGUACACAUCGCCCGUCGCUCUCAUUUCAUUGUUAGUGAGAUAAGUCGUAACAAAGUGGCUGUACCGGAAGGUGUGGCUGGAUUGAUAU
rnacentral:ncRNA from 1 species